rnacentral:rRNA from 1 species
GACGAACGCUGGCGGCGUGCUUAACACAUGCAAGUCGAGCGGUAAGGCCCCUUCGGGGGUACACGAGCGGCGAACGGGUGAGUAACACGUGAGCAAUCUGCCCAUCACAUCGGGAUAACUCCGGGAAACCGAAGCUAAUACCGAAUACGACCACCUCCGGCAUCGGAUGGUGGUGGAAAGUUCCGGCGGUGAUGGAUGAGCUCGCGGCCUAUCAGCUUGUUGGUGGGGUAACGGCACACCAAGGCUUCGACGGGUAGCCGGCCUGAGAGGGUGACCGGCCACACGGGGACUGAGACACGGCCCAGACUCCUACGGGAGGCAGCAGUGGGGAAUAUUGGACAAUGGGCGAAAGCCUGAUCCAGCAACGCCGCGUGAGGGAUGACGGCCUUCGGGUUGUAAACCUCUUUCAGCAGGGACGAAGCGCAAGUGACGGUACCUGCAGAAGAAGCACCGGCCAACUACGUG